UGCAGAACAAAGAAGGGAAAGAAAGAAAUGAAUAACGGAAGAGGAGAGAGGAAAGGAGUGGCAGAUGGGGGAAGAACGGUCCGCUGCAAUAAUACAAAUCAAUCUUACCAAAGAGAAGCGACGGCGGCGCUGAGUAAGAACCCAGGUGAAAGCAAAAGAAAGGAGCUAUCUUGCGCAUUCUUUGGACUUCAUCAUCACAUUUACUCCUCCCUGCAUCUUUUUCAGCCAGUUUUUUACACUAGAGGGCACUCAUUGCCUUGUAGCAGAUUUUCAAUCACAGACUUUUUUAACAGCAAAGAAAGUUCAUUCAAUACUGAUGUUGACUGAAAAUCAUAUGUUAAAGCACAACAAGCACAGCAUGUUUGGCCAUUGUAAUAGUGAUGUGAGGGUAUGGCUGUGUGACUGUGUAGUCACAUACUCUAUAGAGUGAAGCUUUAAGUCAAUUGUAAACCUAGAGGGAAGAAAACAAGUGAGUAAGGUUUAUGUUUGUAUGUACUAUACAGAAAUGUUGGAACAGAUUGACUGAUGGUCUCAAAGUAAUCAGAGAGAUGCCAGGGCUGGAAGUAUUUGAUUUAGUGUGCUGUCUGAAUAUGCGGUAAGGUGGGUGAAUGAAAGCUAGGUAAAUCCUUAAAUCUACAUCAGUAUUUAUAGGAAAACAAAACAGCGUUCUAUGGUGAAUUACGCAACUGACUCAUAUAAGCUUCUGUUAGAUAGUCUGAUAAUAGUCAUAGGAUUUUGUCCCUUUUAUCUUCCAAUGAUUGCAGAUUUGCCUUCAUUGACUUUACAAAUUGCCAGCAUUUUUGCUUAGAAGUUUGUCCAGAGUUUGGUACAUACAUUCACAAAAUACUGUAAGUCAUAAUCACCAGUAUUUAAUACAUUUAGCAUGGAUUACAUUCAACCUUUCAUUUGUAUAGUGCAUAAUGUCUUUUUUUAAAAAACAGACACCAUAACUUCUACAAUUUAACCUAAAAUAAAUUAUCCAAGAAAAAAGAUGUCACAGGCAUGUCUGGGAGGAAAAUCUGAUUAUCAGUCCAGAACAUAACUAUGUCAUAGGUUUUGGUUUUUCAGUUAAUUUUUUACAGACAAGAAAUUCAUUUUGUUUCAUUUCCAUUGUUGUAUAGGUCAAUUAUUCAGAUAUAUUUUUUUGCAUUUUGCAAAGCAAUGAAAAAUGAGAAAACAAAAAUGCAAAGUGUCUCUAGCAAAUAGACAAUGAGCUUUCUUUUGUUACUUAGCUUAUAGUAAUAAGUAAUAGUUUUGUAAGCACCUUGUAUCUGGAAGAUGCUUAGAAUAUAACUUGAGCACACAGCAAAUAUGAAGGUUUCUGUAGAAUUCAAAUGCUUAUCCUUUUGUGUAUUUUUCCAUCAACAAGGAAGUAAAUGUUUAGAAAUGUUUUAUUAGA